CUUCUCGCCGUCCAGGAACGGAGGUGAGAGACGGAGAAAUGGCUACGCAGUUAGUUGAGAAAUGUAUGUAAAUUCGCACGUCAGUAAUUUACAUAAGUAUCUUUUAUAACGGAGGCAAAAAAGUGCGGGUUGCCCUUGAGAAAAGGGAACGCGGACUAGAAGGGAUGUGCAAAUGUGUAUUUUCAAGACCCGCUCCGGCCUGCCCCCUCGGGACGAUUGUGGGAAUCAGAAUAAAGAACCAGGGAAAGUCUGGGCAACGGAGUGAGACCUUAUCUUUACACAAAAUUAAAAAAUGAAACAAAAAAAAAUCCACGGAACGCUACACAGAGAAGACAUUUGCAUGGCCAGCUGGGAACACUUUAGGAGACUAAGGAGAUAAGGUCAUUUUGAAUGCCCUGCCCGCUCCACCAUUGCUCUGGAGAGCUGGGACUCAAGGCUCCCGCCGGGUCGGUGAAGGCCGACGUGGAGAUGGGAGGGCGACGAGCAACUGGGAGUGUCCUCGGGGCUGCACCAGUCCCCUGCAGGCCACCUGAGGGCGUAGGGCGGUUCGCGUGAGCACAAGGGCAUGCAUACUGGUAUCCACACA
rnacentral:lncRNA from 1 species